UUGUGCGACAGAAAGAAAUGGAAAGGAAGGAACAAGAAGAGACCCGCAAGCGAGAAACCCAGGCUUUGGAAGCUGCUCGGGUAGCAGAAGAAAAAGAAAUCA
rnacentral:ribozyme from 1 species